AUUGAACGCUGGCGGCCGGCCUAACACAUGCAAGUCGAACGAGUGGCGGACGGGUGAGUAAUGUCUGGGAAACUGCCUGAGGGAGGGGGAUAACUAAUGGAAACGGUAGAUAAUACCGCAUACCAUCGGAUGUGCCCAGAUGGGAUUAGCGAGUAGGUGGGGUAAAGGCCCACCUAGGCGACGAUCCCUAGCUGGUCUGAGAGGAUGACCAGCCACACUGGAACUUAGACACGGUCCAUACUCCUACGGGAGGCAGCAGUGGGGAAUAUUGCACAAUGGGCGCAAGCCUGAUGCAGCCAUGCCGCGUGUAUGAAGAAGGCCUUCGGGUUGUAAAGUACUUUCAGCGGGGAGGCGUUACCCGCAGAAGAAGCACCGGCUAACUCCGUGCCAGCAGCCGCGGUAAUAC
rnacentral:rRNA from 1 species